UACGAGGGGGGCGAGCGUUGUUCGGAAUUACUGGGCGUAAAGCGUGCGCAGGCGGUUGUGCAAGACAGAUGUGAAAUCCCCGGGCUUAACCUGGGAAUUGCAUUUGUGACUGCACGGCUAGAGUGUGUCAGAGGGGGGUAGAAUUCCACGUGUAGCAGUGAAAUGCGUAGAUAUGUGGAGGAAUACCGAUGGCGAAGGCAGCCCCCUGGGAUAACACUGACGCUCAUGCACGAAAGCGUGGGGAGCAAACAGG
rnacentral:rRNA from 1 species